GGAAGGCGAAGGCGGGCUGAGCCCGGCGCCGGGAGGAGUGGUCUAAACUCCACCGCGGCUUUCGCAUCGGUAAAGCCGGCAGCGGAAAUUUGAAGGAGGAAGCGGGGUUUGUGUGUGGCCCAGUGGGGGAAUUCCCGAGGGGUGUCGGCGACUUGGUGGAAACCCCCGCUCAGGCCUGCCCCUGCGGCGGUGAGCGGCGGGCUAGAAGGCGGCUGCGGCUGCCCUGGCUCUGCUCUUGACCGCCGCCAGCCCCGGGAACUUUCCGACGCCGCCGGGAGACGGGGGACGGGCAGCCCGGGCUGGGACGCGGCCGGACCGCUGGAGCCGUGCGGGCUGGGGAAGAAGGAGACGUGUCUUUAGGAAGCAGAGAGGGUUCGAUUCUGGACUCCGCCCAUGACUCACUUCUCUUGUAAAGAAAGAGUUGUCCUUCCUGGUACUCCAGGUACCCUACUGUUUUCUUAUGGACUUUGCCCUUAACGAGUCUCCUUUCCUUCUGUUACUCUCAACCUUUCCUUCUCUACCGGCUCUUUCUUACUGGUAUUUAAACAUGCUUAAGUCUUUCAAUUCUUUAAAAAGAUUUCUCUUCUCCCUAAAUUGCUCUCCAACAACUGCAGCUGUCUCUUACCCCAUGGACAGUCUUUCAUGUCCCACCUCCCAGCCCUCUCCAGUGUCCCCACCGCUCACCUGAAGUGGCUCUGAAUUGUCCACAGACAAGCUUCAUGACUGUAAAUGCAGCGGAUCAUUUUCAGUCCUCAUUUUACAAGCCCUCAUCCCAGUAUUUGACGCGAUUGACCACAGUUGCUUCCAAAUACCCUCUUCCCUCUGGUCUUAUGUCCCAGGUUUCCUCCCUACCUGAGUUUGCUCUUUAACAACCAGCUCCUCCUUGAUCUACCUCUUACACAUUGGAAUCAUGCUGAGCUGAACCCUGGCCCUCUUACUGAGUCUCCCCAUACACUUUCCUAGGUGGUCUUAUGCUCUCCCAGCAGCAUCAAAUACCCUCUGUCAAAGACUCUUCAAUCCAUAACUCAAGCCUAGAUCUUGCUCUGGAAUCCUACAUUCAUAGUUCCCAGCAUACUGCCUUUGGUACACUUUCAUUUGGAUGACUUAGGGCAUUUCAAACUCAACCCGUAUAUCAUAAUUCCUUCAAAACGCUCCUCCCAUAGUCCCUGGUUCAGUAAAGGGUAUCUUAACAUCUACCCAGUUCAUGCCAGAAACCUAGCACACCUCCAACACACAGCAGAAUCACCUACAUCUGUCUGCUCCCUGGAAAAUUGGAUUUGUGACCUCUCUCUGUUCCCAUGACCAUUUUUUCAUUCCCAUUCUAGUCUAAACCACUGUUGCCUCUUGCUUGAAGUCCCACAGUAACCCAUUCAGGUCCUCCAAAACUGCUCUUGCCUCGUUCCAAUACAUUUGCCAUACUGCUGCCAGAGUAAUUUUUUAAAUAUAAAUCUGAUCAUUGACCUGCUUAAAUUCCUCCAGUGGUCUCCCUUUGCUUACCACACAUUGUCUAAGCUCCAUUAUCUGUACUUGUCUUUCUCUCCAGCCUCUCCAUCUGUCCCCCUAGCUGCCUGCACUCCUGCCAUAGUAUUUUAAUUUUUUCCAGGCUCUCCUCUUUUUAUUCCCUACUGUAGGCUCUCACUUCAGGGCAUUUACACAUGCCCUUCCCUUCCCCUGGAAUUUUUUUCUGUCACCCAUUCCUCCUACUUAACUGUAACUUAUCACUUUCUUUUCCAAUUCCUACUUCUCAUUAUUUGUUUAGUGUCCAUGUAAUUGUGCAGGUAAGGACCACGUCUGUCUUGUUCACUACCAGCUUUUCCUCUCCCUAGCAACAGCACAAUGUCUAGAAUAUAGUGGUACUUGUUAGGUAUUUAUCGAAUAAAUAGUGAAUUUCUGAGUGGUCCCGGGCAAAGUUUUCUCAACAUUUGAAUUCAAAUCCUGGCUCUCAGUGAGUUCAGGUUGCCGUAGUAAAGUACCAUAUAGACUGGUGGCUUAUAAACAACAGAAAUGUAUUUCUCAUAGCUCUGGAGGCUGGAUAUCUGAAAUCAGGCUGCCAACAUGGUCAGGUUCUGGUGAAGGCCCUCUUCAGGGUUGUAGAUGGCUGUUUUUUCCCUUUACCUCACAAUGCAGAAAGAGAGCAAGAGCUCUCGGGUUGCUUUUAUAAGGCACUAAUCCCAUUCACAAGGGGUUUACCUCCCAAAGGCCUCAUCUCCUAAUACCAUCACAUUGAGGGUGAAGAUUUCAAAAAUACGAAUUUGCAGGAGACAGGGGUGGGGGUGAAUUCAUUGCACUGGCUCAG
rnacentral:lncRNA from 10 species